rnacentral:rRNA from 1 species
CCUACGGGGGGCGAGCAGUGGGGAAGUAUUGCGCAAUGGGGGAAACCCGUGACGCAGCGAUGCCGCGUGGGUGAAUAAGGCCUUCGGGUUGUAAAGCCCUUUCAGUGGGGAAGAUGAUGACGGUACCCACAGAAGAAGCCCCGGCUAACUCCGUGCCAGCAGCCGCGGUAAUACGGAGGGGGCGAGCGUUGUUCGGAAUUAUUGGGCGUAAAGGGCGCGUAGGCGGUUUAUUAAGUCAGGAGUGAAAGCCUCAGGCUCAACCUGGGAACUGCUUUUGAAACUGGUAGACUAGAGUCCGGCAGAGGAUGGUGGAAUUCCCCGUGUAGAGGUGAAAUUCGUAGAUAUGGGGAGGAAGACCAGAGGCGAAGGCGACCAUCUGGACCGGUACUGACGCUGAGGCGCGAAAGCGUGGGGAGCAAACAGGAUUAGAUACCCGUGUAGUC